rnacentral:ncRNA from 1 species
AUAUGGGGAGAGAACACUUGACUGUGUCGCCGAAGGAGCAAAUGGGAAACUAUGAAUCUCUCAGGCAAAAAGACU